GAGUAGUACAUCGAUGGGGACCCCUUGGGAAGUCUUUGUGUUGCACCCAUGGGUGCGAUCAUACCAGCACUAAUGCACCGGAUCCCGUCAGAACU
rnacentral:rRNA from 1 species